AAAAAAAAAAAAAGGAGACAGAGAGAGAGAGAAACUUCUCCUUCUCCUAGGAAGAACACUUCUGCAUCUGCGUAUUUACACUUCUCCGGGACUGAAGAAUGAAUCUGAAUUGGAAAAACUUCAACUCUUUUUUUUUUUUUUUGCCUUUUUUUUUUUUCUUUCCAGACAUCCUGACAUAAUCACGGGGCUCCUUUGAAAACUGCAUCGAGUAAUUUAGCACUCGGGGAGGGAGGAAUUAUAUCAGUUUGAAAAGAAACCUCACACACGCAGAACCUCUAAAACGAUCAAUAAAUUUCCCUCGACCUUCUUUACCGCCGGGGAACUAUCCUCUAGAUUAAAAUCCCUCUCCGAAGAGGGGUCCCGUUGUUUUGGAGCUGAACGGAGGAGGCUACGCUUGCAGCGGGGAGCUCUCCACAUCCAAGUCCGAUUUUUUUUCGGGAAAAGCGAGUGAUGUCGGCCGCAGCACCCCGGAGGUCCGAGCCCUGCUCGCUGUCUGUGCUCUGAACACACGUACCCAUAUCUGUGCGCAUGCUGUGCGUGUGCGCGGGGACACAUCCAGGCAGAGGAACCGCAAGCGGAGCCUGGAGAACACAAGCUUUCCCUGGGUUUUGUCAGAGAUAAAACAGGCCGGGAGCAGUGAGAACGAAAACUAAAAGGACUCGGGAUGGGAUUUCCCUGAAUUUUCCUCUUCUCCCUAAACUUUUGUAUCAUUCUCUCACCCGUCGCCGUGGCCAUUCCUCCCGCGCAGCCCCGGCCUCUGCUGGCCCGGCCACGGCCGCUGAGCCCCAGCCCGGCCUGCCUCGGGAACACCUCCCGAAGUCCCUCUCUCGAACUUUUCCUACCCAAGGGGUCUUGACAGGUUGCUCUCGCUGUCCUCUUGGCGUCUGCACGGAGAGACUCUGGCAGGGGCUGCCUUGCCAGCAAUCCCCGAUCUGCUCGGAGCGCACCGAGAGGCAGCCGCCUCUCUCGGAGGGAGGGGUGCGCUACAUUCGCAGUCAAAUUACAUGGCUGGCCUCGCAGGCACUAGCUCCGGAUUUCCAAACUAAAACUCAUCUUUUAAAAGACGAGCCAAGAAGAAAUUGCGAGGAAGGUCUCAGAUGAGGGGACCUCGGGUCUUUUUCCGAAGUUUUAGAAAACUUCUCCUCGGUGCAGUGCACAGAUGAGGGAAUACCUGGGCAGAGGUGCUGCCUUUCCCCGCGUCCCUUGGCUGGCCAUUUCCCUGGGGUGAUGCCGGUCUCUCAUCGCUUGUCCGGCUCUUCUCGCCGCAAGAACACCGGCCAAGGUCAGGCCGCUGCGGAGAGUCGCUGCCCGGCGCCCGCCUGCGCGCUCCCUGCUCCGCGGGCGAGCCCCGCGCUGCGGCCGGACCCCGACCGUGCUGCUCGGCGUGCCCCGCUCCUCCACAGCGCCGGAUCGCCCCGCCAGCGCCCAGACACAGCGGUCGGUGUCAGGGCCGGGCAGGAACAGCCGCUGCCAGGAGAGGAGUGCGAGCAGCGAACGGGCCGGCGGCAGCGCUGCCCGGGCAGGGCUUGGCCCCGAGCCGCUGCUGGCCGGGCACGGAGCGGGGCUGCGGCACGGAGCGGGGCCGGGGACCCGGGACCGGCUCCUCUCUCCCCUCUCCGGCCGUGAAGGCUGCAGGAGUAGCAGCCGGGAAUCGAAAGUGACCCCCUCUCCCGACUCCUGCCAGGUCUGCGCUGUUUGAUGCCGCGAUCCAACCAAGUCUGAACUUCAGCGAUAAUCUUCUCCAUAUGGGCAAAGAGAGCGCGCACACGGCGGUUCUCUCCACAAAUCACCUACCUCCAAUCAGUUUUCACUUUCCACAAACUGUUACAGCGGGAAUAAAUAAAAUGAAAAUGAAAAGGAAGGGGGAAAAAAAGUGAUGGUAAAGAAAGAGGUUUUCUGACCGCAGGUCGGAAAAAGCAACCGGUGUCUCACCGGCGAGGGGCGGGCGUGCUGCUGCCCGCAGGCUCCGUCCGAGAGCCGCGGGUGUCCCGGGGAGGGAGCGCUCCCCAUCGCUAAAGGCAGCGGAUGGUGGAGGCAGAGCAGGAGCCUGGACCUCCCUGUGGGAAGAAGUGCGUGCGGCUGCGAGGGGUCUGCUGCGCAGGCAGCGCCGAUGCAGAGCCUCGCUGCUGAAAAUCUGCUCUGCAGCUUCCCCGCGCCCCAGCGCAGCGCAGCCAAGCCAAGGAGAGCGCUGUCCGCAGCUUCCCGCAGCUUCCCGCAGCUUCCCGCGCAGGCAGAGCGGGCAGCGGAGGCACGGUGGAGGGCAGGGCCAGGGUGGUGGCGAUGGGGGCCGGCGGCAGGGAGAAAGGCCGCCCGGUCUCCGCUUCCCAGCUCCCCGGGAGGUUAGCAGGGGUGGCUUGGUCUCCCCUUUCGCUGUAAUUCAGAAGAAGGGAGCGGGGAAGGAAGAGGACAGGCUUGCGGAGGGUUUGGGAGAGGUUGCAGCCGGGCCGCGGUUUGACACUGCAGAGGAGCCGAGGCGCUGCAGGGAAGCAGUGCGCGACCCUCCGCGGGCAGCGGGGACCCUCGGAGUCGGUGUAAUGUAUUUUAUAAUUUAUUUUUUUAAGGUUUCAGUGAAACUAGCAGUUUUAUUUGUGUUUCGCUCCUUCCAGCCCAACGAACAAUCCCGCGCAUCCACAGUCGAGGAUGUUUGCGGAGGUGGCAGAUGGCUCCUCGCCUGCUUCCCCGCGUGUGUCACGACGGGACCGAGCUGCUCCGCAAAGCGAUCUUCCCAACUUAGGGCCGUUCCUUCCAAACGAGCAAACACGAUGUGUUCGUUUGUUUAUUUGUUUGUUUAUUUGAUUGUUUGCAAGAGUUGCUCUGGUUUCCUGCUCGCAAUUUGACCGUGGGCAGAGGAACCCGCUCCCGGCGAUCGCCGCCGUGACGUUGAGUCAAGGAAAUACUACAGGUGUUACUGCGGUGUUCGGGAAUUAAUUCUCCUUCCUCUCCCCCUCCUCCUUCCCCGAGUGAUUUCCUAGCCUACCCAGAUAGCUGGGAAAGGGUCCCAUAUACCCCGGAGCUGUAAAUUGAGCGCUGAAAUACUUGAUCUCACUGAUCUUUGGAGAAUUAAAUCUGGCCUCAUUUUACAGGAGGAAGCGAAGUCAAUCUCGGAGGUUUUGCGAAGAAAGGCUGUUAUUUCCUAGAGGAUAGGCGUUUAAGUUGUUAAAUAUUAGUUUUUAAUUACGUAUUGUUCUUUUAAAAAAAUAAUAUUUAUACUCAGGUCCGUGAAGGUAUUCAAUUGAAUUUUCAAGCCAUCAGCUAACCAUUCUUUGGACGCCUGAUGGAAAAUAGCCCAUUGUACCAGCGCCCGGCGAUGUUUCAUCGGCAGACGGCGCUUCAAGGGUACCCCACUGUCCCCCGCGCCCUCAGCGGGGCCGCCGGGGGACACCGGGGCUUCACACCGACCUCGGGAGGGGAAUCUCUGUCACAAACCUGGGCUGGGGACACGGCAGGGAGCAGGACGCUCCGGCACGGUCGUGCAAAGCCACAGAGCGAAGAAACGAAAGGGCAAGAACUAGUGAUAAUGAAUGAAUAAUUCGGGAUUAAACGUACCCGCGAUCCCCGCGGUGACUUAGGAGCUGUCCCCACCAGCUCUCCGGGGCUCAGGGCAUUUCCCGGCCCUCCGGGCACUUCGUACCGGGCCCUGGUGGCAGGGUGACCGAGGACGCUGCAGCCCUUGCGGGGCGUCGUGUGCGGCCGAGCGGGAGCCCAGCCCGGCUGCGGGGCCGGGGGUGCGGGACUGGCCGCACAUCUGGGCACAUCUGGAGGAUGGGGGGGGCUCGGAUUAACCCCUUAUCCCCCGCAGCGCCUCCCCCUCGGCUCCCCAGCACCCCCGGCUCCGUCCGGCGGCCAGAAGCACCACGGCCACUCGGCCCUUUGCAAACACGUCCCGCGGGAGGCUUGGCCCCCGCCACCAGGAGAGGCCAUUUUACAAAACGGAGCGAUUUCAGCUCCCUCCGGCCUCACCAUCUCCCGGGCCCGGGCCCUGCCCGCCUCUGCAGAGCCGCAGAGCGGCGGGAAGGGCGAGCCGGGCUCUCCUGCAGCUGGCCGGGGGUCCGGCCAUUAGGUAAACACGCUUUAAAACAGCGGGGCAGGCACCACGCACCGCGGCCGCCUGGCUUGGAAGUCAAGUUUGUGGUUUGGAGCGGGUGAGGGAUUUAUUUCGGUGUGUAAAUAUUUCUGGUCUCCAUAAACUUGCGGAGUGGACUAAAACGAGCACACGCGGUUCAGCAUCUGUUUAGCUGGAUGCAUCUCACAGACGAAUAUUGACUUUUCACCUCCCGAUCCGAAGUGGGAAAUAAAAAGAGGUUGAUGUCCUCUAUUGUGUUUGCAAUUGCCUGUCCCAGGAUUAAAGAGAUCUCCAUUUUACUGGCUGGCUUUCAUUUAACUGUUUGGAGACCAGAGAUGGAAAAUAUUUGCCGAGAAGAAAAGAAUAGCCGCAUGGGAUCAUUUGCAAUUCAGUGUGAAAAACAUUCUACCAAACCCAUUUCCAUCCCAGCGCAGUUGAAAAAAAAAAUAAAAUAGGGCAUAGCCGUCAACAGCCCAUUCCACUCUGCUGGACAGCACGGAAAGUUUUAGGCAACUAAAUUCCUAAUGGGAGACAGCAGCAAACAACACAAUUAUGUCUUUGACUGAACUAUGUGGCAGCUUUAAUUGCUAGAAAUGCUAGUAAUUAGCUAAAAUAUUAGUUUUGGUAAACGGGAGACUGUCCAGCUAUGGUGAGCGGUACAGCCUGUAUGGACAGACCCCAAAAGAAGCCUCAGCUUCAGGUGGCACGGUUGGAAUUGCAGAGGAAUGAGCACUUGGAAGGAAAUCAGGAUAAAGGCAGAGCCGUCCAACGUAUCACGCAGGGUGUGUGCUCGAGAGGAGCAAAUCCAGAAACAACUGCAUUUCAAAGCGACAAAGAAAUGAGCAUCAUUUAUCUUCAAAUAUCAUUCCAUUAUCGCCGCUGCCAUGGGCGGGGCAUGUCGCACAAAAACGUGCUUCGCAAAGCGUGAGCGGAGCUGGCCACCCUCGCUCGCCCCCAGAGCGGUGGUUGAGAUGGUGUGGAGAGCUCUGCCCAGCUCCGGGGGCAAAUCCCUUCUGACCGGGCCGCCGGGGGCUGUGCCCGCCCCGCCGGGCAGAGCCGCAGCCGGACAGUGCCCACUCGCGGCUGGCCUCGCUCGGAGCAGACCCGAAGAGCCCCUGCGAGGCAGGAAAUUGUGUUGACGUGUCCAGAGCUGGGUCUUGCUGGCUGUGAACACCCCGAAAUGCACAGGGAGGGAGACAGGAGGGAAUUACUGGAGCUGUGGAUCCACUCCGCGUUGGAGCUGCGUGUGAGCAUCCAGGACACCUGAAGAACAGCUCUCACGGAUCAUCUCUGCACUGGGCACUGCAGUCACGCACAGUUCGGUGGAACUCUGGUGCUUUGGCAUCUAAAAGCCUCCCUGGAGAAGGGUUUGGUUAUGGAUAACUCAUUUGCUUUGCAAUAAUAUUUAGUGCACCCUGUCAUGGACUAAGGAUCUAUUGUGCCACGCUCUUCUGUGCACAAUGACAACCCUUGGCACAGCAGCCUCAGCAAGAGGGCAAAAUAAGUGUCUGUGCCUUGAAAAAAAGCCAAAAAAAGAGAAAUGAUCAACAAUACAGUAAAUAAUAGGUAAGAAAUGGGGAAGCUGAGGACAAAAGGACACCCCUAACUCCAGUGUACUGAUUAUGAACUGUUUUCUACUGUGGAUAAAGCCAGUGGUAAAAUGUCUUUUGGUACGCAGAGUGCAAGAUUAAACCACAUUACAUUUGGAUGUAA